rnacentral:rRNA from 1 species
AUGGUGAAGUGGGCUGACAUCUGCUUGCUGAAGGACCGAGGUGGGUUGGGCAUCCCUGCAUCUCGCCGGAUGAACGUUGCGCUUAUGCUGCGUUGGGUUUGGCGGAUCUUGCGGAAAGAUGGGGGGUUGUGGUUACAGCUGGUUGAGUCCAAUUACUUGCAGGGCCAACCCCUCUUAUCUUACUCACAGUCGGCUGGGUCCCAGUUCUAG